rnacentral:tRNA from 1 species
GCAAUGGUGGUUCAGUGGUAGAAUUCUCACCUUCCAUGCAGGAAACCUGGGUUCAGUUCCCAGCCAAUAGA